UAGGAUGUGGUGUAAUGGAAGCACGAAGAGUUUUGAGUUCUUUGGUGCAGGUUCGAGUCCUGCUGUCCUAG
rnacentral:tRNA from 1 species